AGAGUUUGAUCCUGGCUCAGAACGAACGCUGGCGGCAGGCUUAACACAUGCAAGUCGAACGCACUCUUCGGAGUGAGUGGCAGACGGGUGAGUAACACGUGGGAAUCUACCCGAUGGUACGGAAUAACACAGGGAAACUUGUGCUAAUACCGUAUGUGCCCCUAGGGGGAAAGAUUUAUCGCCAUCAGAUGAGCCCGCGUCGGAUUAGCUAGUUGGUGGGGUAAUGGCCUACCAAGGCGACGAUCCGUAGCUGGUCUGAGAGGAUGAUCAGCCACACUGGGACUGAGACACGGCCCAGACUCCUACGGGAGGCAGCAGUGGGGAAUAUUGGACAAUGGGCGCAAGCCUGAUCCAGCCAUGCCGCGUGAGUGAUGAAGGCCUUAGGGUUGUAAAGCUCUUUCAGCUGGGAAGAUAAUGACGGUACCAGCAGAAGAAGCCCCGGCUAACUUCGUGCCAGCAGCCGCGGUAAUAC
rnacentral:rRNA from 2 species